GCCCCUGUAGUUUAAUGGAUAAAACGGUGGCUUGCGGAGCCACUAAUCUAAGUUCGAUUCUUGGUGGGGGCA
rnacentral:tRNA from 1 species